CGGUAUAUAGCUUAGUGGCUAAAGCAUUCGGUUCAUACCCGAAAGACCGCAGGUUCAAAUCCUUGCUAUACCGACCA
rnacentral:tRNA from 1 species